GAAAAAAGGAGAGAGAGAGAGAGAGAGAGAGAGAGAGAGAGAGAGAGAGACUAUCCGAAAGCCAUUAAAUUGGCAAAAUACUCUUUGCUAAGACGCUCAACUCUCCAAAAGAAAAUGCGAUAAAGAAUAGUUUGCUGUCAUCCCCACCAAAGGCCUCUCUCUAUUGGAAGAUUAGGAAAGCAGGGCUAAAGAGUGCAGAGAAGAGCAAUUGAGACAGAUCAACCCCUUUCUUUCAGUGGAAAUAUUCUGAGCAGUGCUGGGAAAUGUUCUUGUUAGUGGAAUUCAAUCCAUUGUCUUUCAAGUCAACAGCAGAGAUAAAUGUAAGGCAGAGUAGAGUGUGAAUAUCAAAAAGGAUCAGUACUGAAUCAUAAUCAGAAAAAUAUCCUGUAUUUUUUUUCCAUUUCUUGCAUUUACUGAGUCUGAAUCAUUUUUAUACCUAUAAAUCUCCAGCUGUUAGAAAACUAUGUGUUUUAUAAUUUCCUUUACAGGCACAGAAACGUCUACCUAAAACAAAAAAACAAAUUGUAAACAUCAUUUCCUUUCUCUUUCUCUCCCUCUCUCUGUCCAUUACAUCAUUUCCAAUUUUGUAAAUAAAAUUUCCCUUAACUUCUUUUGUAGGGGUUUCCACACCUGGGUUAUAAAACUUGGGAUGAUCACUAAAUUUUUGAAAAAAAAAAAAAAUCUUAACUUUUUGCUUCUAUGUAAUACUCAUUUGGGGGUUUGAUGCCUCAUCUAAUCUUAACUAAAUCUUUUGUUAGUGAAGAAAAGUUAUAUUGUUUUAGUUUUGGGAUACAUUUUGUUUUAAAAUAGGUUUGUUUUCAUUCUGAAGUUUUGCUUAUGUAUUCUAUGGAAUAUGUAUUUGUUGCUCACCAAAUUCCAUUUCAGUUGUUGAAUAAUUUGUGUUAUUUUUAUGGAAUUUCUGCUUUCUAUUUAAAAUUAGAAAAUGAAUGUUCUUGGAUGUAUUUUUCUUCUAAAUAAAACAUAAAGGAUCAUUAAUAAAAAGAUAUCACUAGAACACAAUGUAAUCAGUCAUGCUUGGAUUCCUAAAUGCCUGCAUGUAUGUCUGAACUCUGAAAGAAAAUGAGGGAGAUCAAUAAGAAGGCUAUUUUGUCUUUUGAACAUGGUUAAAAAUUAUGAUUCUAAACAUAUUCUUGCUAAUAUGUUAUAUUCCUGAAUUAUUGUUUGAGGAAAAAUUCAGUAAUUGGCAACAUUUCUUUAUUCUGUGCAAGGAAAACAGCAAAUCUGCAAAUCAGAAUGAAAUGGGUAAUAGUCUCUGAUUGCCAAUUCUUAUAUAACAUUUUCUAUGUAUGAAUUUUUAAGACACAGUUUUUAUUCUGUGGAAUGCCCAGAAGUAUGAUGGAGUGUGUGUCUUAUCAAUAAAAUAAAAUAAUAUAAUAUAAAAUAAAAUAAAAUAAAAUCACUUCCUUUUUGUAGUCAUGCCUGGAUGUCUGAAUGACUCCUUUGUGCAAAUGCUACAUUAAAAUACAAGUGUUCAUUCUACAGAACAUCUAUAACAAAUCUAGCGCUAAUUUCAGAUCAAAGCUAAGUUUGGGAACAAAUGUCAAAUUGUAGAAUCCACGUAAUAUAUAAAUUCACAAUAUGUAAACUGUAGAUUACAGAAGAGCUUAUCUUAGAUAUCACAGGUAAACAUCAGGAAUAAAUAUGCUAUGAACAAUUAGAAUUAGAACACUUCUCCUUGUAUGAAUGUAAGAAUGGAAAAUGGGAAUCUGCAGGUAAGUGAAAUGAAAAAUGCCUUUAAUCCUGUCCUGUUUAACACAAUUUUAUCACACUCUAGACAAUGCUGUUCACUUUGGAUAUAUCUAUAUUGACCAAAUUUCAUAAUCUGCUUCCAUAUGCUAGAGCCUUGAAAUUUCAGCAGGCAACUGAAUGCAUAUAAACUCAAGGAUUUAUCAGCCAAAGAUGCAGUUUCAGCACCCUGUUUUACUUCCUGUUAGGACUAAAUAUAAGGAGCAUAACAUGAACAGACUGCUCCAUCACUGCAGUUUCUGAGAUUCCCUGCAUUUCCUGAUGUGAAAAAGUUCCCUAGGAAGUGGACAAGCGGGAGGAGGAUUUAAAAAAG